UGGGUGAGUCACGCGUGUCCAACCUCGGCCCCCGCCCGGGGAUAGCCCUUGGAAAUGAGGAUUAAGACCCGAUACGUGCGCAUUCCGCAUGGCGUGCGCAUGAACCAGGCAGGGGAUGGGACGCGUCGGAUUAGCUUGACGGCGGGGCAACGGCCCACCGUGGCGACGAUCCGCAGGGUUCGUGAGAGGAAGGUCCCCACACUGGCACUGAGACACGGGCCAGACUCCUACGGGAGGCAGCAGUGAGGAAUAUUGGUCAAUGGCCGAGAGGCUGAACCAGCCAAGUAGCGUGCAAGGGAUGACGGCCCUACGGGUUGUAAACUGCUUUUGCGGGAGGAUAAAGUGCACUACGUGUAGUGCUUUGCAGGUAUCCCGUGAAUAAGGACCGGCUAAUUCCGUGCCAGCAGCCGC
rnacentral:rRNA from 1 species